GGUGGGCGCGGCGGUGUCGUGCCUUUUGCGGUGAGCGGGGGACCGUGCGCAGCCAGCAACGCCGCCGACUUGGCUUUGUCUGCCUCCUGCCAGCCUGGCAGACACCUGUUCUGUCCUUGGGCGACUUCCCUGAGCGUCCCCGAUGUGUACAAGGGCCUCCUGUGCGUGCCAGGCCCUGCGUCUGGGGCAAGAGCAGGAACAAGAGAAACCAGAUGUCUGUUCCCUCGGAAUUCAGAGUCUAAAAAGGAGGCAGACAAGCAAGAUAAUCACAGGCUGCAGUGAAUUCUCAGAAGGAAGCGAACAAGGAGCCACAAAGGAGGAGAGCAAAGCCCCACCUGCAGCGCCGGCACACCGGGUUCUAGUCCCAGUCGGGGCGCCGGAUUCUGUCCCGGUUGUCCCCCCUUCCAGGCCAGCUCUCUGCUGUGGCCAGGGAAUGCAGUGGAGGAUGGCCCAAGUGCUUGGGCCCUGCACCCCAUGGGAGACCAAGAUAAGUACCUGGCUCCUGCCAUCGGAUCAGCGUGGGGCACCGGCCGCAGCGCGCCAGCCAUGGUGGCCAUUGGAGGGUGAACCAACGGCAAAGGAAGACCUUUCUCUCUGUCUCUCUCACUGUCCACUCUGCCUGUCAAAAAAAUUAAAAAAUAAAAAAUAAAUUUAAAAAAAGCACGGCCCUGUCUGGUUGUGCUGUUACUGAAACACUGGAUCCAAACCAUCACCUCAUUCGCCGGGAAUCAGAACCCCACACCCUCGA